GGACUGCUAGCUGCAUGAAGGAACUACCCGCUGUGGGUCUCCUCUUUGCUGACAGCUGGACGCUUGACAGAAUGACCUGCCUGAACUCGGGACCUGCUGAAUGAUGGGACUGGAGAAGCUGUAACACAAACAGGGCUAAAACACUCACUCUCCUCCCUCUGCUCCCCACCGCCCCACCCACUUGCCACAUUGGAGGUGAUGAGAAGGAGAGAAGAGCUGUGGCCUUUCAGGGAGCAUAGUCGCAGGGGCUCCCUGAGCCAGGGCUGUGAAACCCUCUUCCGGGCACUGCAGUUCCUGGCAUCUCCAAGCUUCUGAGUGCCACCGCAUUCCCCGCGUCCGGAUGCAGGUCAAUACACGGAAAGAAAUCUCUCUCCUGACUUUAGUACAAUGGCAUGAUUGGUGGCCACAGUCCAAGGAUGGUUGCUGGGUCACCAAGAGAUUUCUGACAAAGGGCAUUAAAACUGAGAAAGUUUGGGAACCUCUGAAU
rnacentral:lncRNA from 1 species